AUACGUAGGGUGCAAGCGUUAAUCGGAAUUACUGGGCGUAAAGCGUGCGCAGGCGGUUUUGUAAGACAGAGGUGAAAUCCCCGGGGUCAACCUGGGAACUGGCUUUGUGACCGCAAGGCUAGAGUACGGCAGAGGGGGAUGGGAUUCCUCGUGGUAGAGUGAAAAGCGUAGAUAUGCGGAGGAACACCGAUGGCGAAGGCAAUCCCCUGGGCCUGUACUGACGCUCAUGCACGAAAGCGUGGGGAGCAAACAGGAUUAGAUACCCUGGUAGUCCACGCCCUAAACGAUGUCAACUGGUUGUUGGGUCUUCAUUGACUCAGUAACGAAGCUAACGCGUGAAGUUGACCGCCUGGGGAGUACGGCCGCAAGGUUGAAACUCAAAUGAAUUGGCGGGG
rnacentral:rRNA from 1 species